AUACUUACCUGUCAGGGAAGACACCACAAUCAGGAAGGUGGCUUUCCCAGAAUAAGGCUCAUCCUUUCCAUUUGUCAUGUGCUGACUCCUGCCAUUUCCUCAAAUGUGGAAAAGUUGGCAGUAUGAUUUGUGGCAGUGGGAAACUGUGUUCCCACUCUGCCCUG
rfam:Mesocricetus auratus contig167029, whole genome shotgun sequence.